UGGAAAUGCUCUCACCUGUUGUGAACCCGUCACAGCAACUGAUUGUCCAUUUGGUUGGUUCUGGCCUGGCACUGUCCAUGCUGAAAAGAAAUGGUCAACAUGAAGUCACAGAGACGAAAAAAGAAGCAAAGGGACGUGGAAAAUCUAUCUACUGAGAAUCCUAAUCCUGAAUGACUAAGUGGGCAACAGGGGACCAUUAUUAAAUCAUAUCCAUUGGCCCAAAGAGAUUAUGGACCUCCCAGAAAAUUGAAUCAAGCCAGAGCCUUGUGAUUUUCCCCUUCGCAUGUACAUUAAAUGCAAAAUGAUACUA